rnacentral:rRNA from 1 species
GUCCACGCUGUAAACGUUGGGCGCUAGGUGUGGGGCUCAUUCCACGAGUUCCGUGCCGCAGCUAACGCAUUAAGCGCCCCGCCUGGGGAGUACGGCCGCAAGGCUAAAACUCAAAGGAAUUGACGGGGGCCCGCACAAGCGGCGGAGCAUGCGGAUUAAUUCGAUGCAACGCGAAGAACCUUACCAAGGCUUGACAUGUUCAGUAAUCCGUCAGAGAUGGCGGGUCCGUAAGGGCUGUUCACAGGUGGUGCAUGGUUGUCGU